rnacentral:rRNA from 1 species
UACGUAGGUGGCAAGCGUUGUCCGGAUUUACUGGGCGUAAAGAGCGCGCAGGCGGUCGUUCAAGUCGCGUGUGAAAGCCCCCGGCUCAACUGGGGAGGGUCACGCGAUACUGAUCGACUCGAGGCCAGUAGGGGGACGCGGAAUUCCGGGUGUAGUGGUGGAAUGCGUAGAGAUCCGGAGGAACACCAGCGGCGAAGGCGACUACCUGGCCUGUUCUUGACGCUGAGGCG